rnacentral:pre_miRNA from 1 species
AGUGAGAUAGCUGGGUUAAAUGGUGGUUCUAUUCCAAGUUUUCUAAGGAAUCUCUACACUGCUUUCAAGAUUGGUUGCACCAUUUUGCAGUCCCACUAGCAAU